ensembl:snRNA U6 U6 spliceosomal RNA
GGGCUCGCCUUGACUGUACCUAUACUAAAAUAUAAUACAGAGAAGAUUAGGAUGGUCCCUGCUCAAAGAUGACACACACACUUAAUUAAAAGCAUUCCAUACUUUU